rnacentral:rRNA from 1 species
UACGUAGGGCGCAAGCGUUAUCCGGAAUUAUUGGGCGUAAAGAGCUCGUAGGCGGUUUGUCGCGUCUGUCGUGAAAGUCCGGGGCUCAACUCCGGAUCUGCGGUGGGUACGGGCAGACUAGAGUGAUGUAGGGGAGACUGGAAUUCCUGGUGUAGCGGUGAAAUGCGCAGAUAUCAGGAGGAACACCGAUGGCGAAGGCAGGUCUCUGGGCAUUAACUGACGCUGAGGCGCGAAAGCGUGGGGAGCAAACAGG